UCCGGAGAGGAGCGUGAAAUUCCUGGUGUAGCGGUGAAACGCGUAGAUAUCGGGAGGAACACCAGUGGCGGAGGCGAUUUUAUGGCACAAUACUGACGCUAAUGUGCGAAAGCUAGGGUAGCGAACGGGAUUAGAAACCCCGGUAGUCCUAGCCGUAAACGAUGGAUACUAGGUAUGGGAGUGUCAGGGCAUCCGUGCUGCAGCUAACGNCGUUAAGUAUCCCGCCUGGGGAGAACGGUCGCAAGACCCUAACUCAAAGGAAUUGACGGGGGCCCGCACACGCGGUGGAGCACGUGGUUUCAUUCGAUGCAU
rnacentral:rRNA from 1 species